rnacentral:rRNA from 1 species
UUUAAAAUUUAUAAUAAUGUAAUUUGAUUUUAGCUGAAUUUUGGAAAUUUUUUUUUAAACUAGGAUUAGAUACCCUAUUAUUUUUAAUGUAAUUAUUUAUACUAAGGUAGUAUUAGUUAUGAUCUUGAAACUUAAAAAAUUUGGCGGUAUUUUAGUCUUUUCAGAGGAACCUGUUCUUUAAUCGAUAAUCCACGUUGAAUCUUACUUAUUCUUGUUUUUCAGUUUGUAUACCGCCGUUAUUGAAUAUUUUAUUAGAAAAAUAAUUUUCAAUUUUUUUUAUAAAAAAUAAUAUCAGGUCAAGGUGCAGUUUAUGAUUAAGUAGUUAAUGGGUUACAAUAAAUUUAUUUAUGCGGAUUUAAAAUUGAAAUAUUUUAAUAAAGAUGGAUUUGAUAGUAAAAUUAUGAAGAUAGUUAAUUUGAUUUUGGCUCUAAAUAUGUAC